GAACCGUUCCGACCAAACCUCUCGUGCUCUCUCUCUCUCUCUCUCGGUCCCGCUUCCUCCUCUCGCGCUCGGGCUAAUGGCUACAAUCCUGAGAACGCCGGCGCUCUUCCUCCACCCUCCGGCGGAGGUGGCGGCACGGGCGGCUCUGCCGGCGGCGCCGAGGGGACCUCCGUACUUCUGCGCGAGGCGGAGGAUCUCGUGGUCUUUAAAGCUACAGCUGUCCCCUCUCGCCUAUAGGCGUCUCUGCUUCCCAAAGUUCAAAAUCUUCGCCGCCUAUGGGGACACCACAGAAGCCGAAGGGAUUGCGGAAGCUGUGGAAAAGGAUGAUUCUGAUGAAGAAACUUCUUUAGAGGAUGGAGCAACUGAUGGCGGCAUUAUUGACACAGAAGAAACAGUUGCUUCGACUGUGCUGUUGUCACUGCAGUCAUACAAAGAAGCUUUGGCAAAUAAUGACCAAACCAAAGUUGCUGAAAUAGAAUCAUUUCUUCAGUCAAUUGAAGAUGAGAAGAAUUCUCUUUCAUCUAAAGUUGCUGCUUUGGCUGAAGAAUUAUCAACAGAACAGGAUCGCAUUCUUAGGAUCAGUGCCGACUUUGACAAUUUUAGGAAAAGGACAGAGAGAGAAAGGCUUUCUUUGAUGAUGAAUGUGCAAGGUGAAGUUAUAGAGAGCUUAUUGCCUGUUUUAGACAACUUUGAAAGGGCUAAAACUCAAAUAAAAGUGGAGACCGAGGGAGAAGAGAAAAUUAAUAACAGCUAUCAGAGCAUUUAUAAGCAGUUUCUGGAGAUCCUGACCUCUCUUGGUGUGGAAACAGUGGAAACUGUUGGGAGUACUUUUGAUCCUAUGCUUCACGAGGCAAUUAUGCGUGAGGAAUCAAUGGAGUUCGAAGAGGGCAUCAUAAUUCAAGAAUUUCGCAAAGGUUUCAAACUUGGGGAAAGGCUCUUGCGUCCAUCAAUGGUGAAGGUUUCUGCUGGACCAGGACCACAAAAGGCGGUAGACGAAAACACGGUGGUAGAAGAUGGUGAAGCGAGUGAAAGCAGUGAAGAAGGCAGUAGUUUAGCGUUCAGCAAGGAGGAAGAGAUUGCAGAUUUGUUCCUCUGUCGUCCUUGACGUGAGUGAGCGUCUUCCAAGCUGACCACCUCCAUGAUCCUUUCUAUGGUUUCAUCCUCCAGGUCGACUUCCAUCGAGGGACUAAAUGUGCUUGUCAAAGUAUGAGUCUAUAUGAUUUUGUCAUUUAGGAUGAUGAGCCCAAAGGGUGUAUGAGAGUCGAGGAUGAAUUUGGCCACUUUGAUUCUUCUGCUCCCUAAAUGAAGGGAGGCUAAUUAUGUUUAUCAAUAUAGAUAAUUCUUAGGUCAAACUUAUUAUAAAUUGUCUACCAGAUUAUUGUAAUUGAGGUCAUUUAUUAUUUCCUUGCUUUUUUUUUUUUUGAAAUUGACUUGAGUUUCAGAGGGAUUUUAUUGAAAAAAAUCUAUCGGAUCUUGAUUUUCA